rnacentral:sRNA from 1 species
UAAAGUUAAGAUAUUAUAAUAUCGAUUUUUUUCCUUUUCAGAUUUCAUUAAGUUCCAAAAUGGACAGGUACAUCGAAAAGGCAUACACUGAGAAUAAAUACAUUCUUGUUGAAAAAAUUCGAAAACACUGUCUCA